UGUAUAUUCCUUAUAAAACUCUCCUGAAAAUUUCCCUGAUCAUCUGCACCAGAUUCAUCUUUCGUACUUGAUUUAUUUUUCUCGCUCCCUUUGGGAAUUUCCUUCUCCUUCGGGUAGUAGUUCUCGUAAUUCUUCUUGUUCGGAUCACUAGAUAAGAACCGCCGGAAAUGUUGAUUCCAAUCGCCGGAGCGGUUCACAGCCCUGCCAGCUCCAAUCGAGGUA
rnacentral:misc_RNA from 1 species